rnacentral:rRNA from 1 species
UACAGAGGGUGCAAGCGUUAAUCGGAGUUACUGGGCGUAAAGGGUGCGUAGGCGGUUUGAUGAGUGUGAUGUGAAAGCCCUGGGCUUAACCUAGGAAGUGCAUCGCAAACGAUCGAACUGGAGUAGAUGAGAGGGUGGCGGAAUUUCCGGUGUAGCGGUGAAAUGCGUAGAGAUCGGAAGGAACGUCAAUGGCGAAGGCAGCCACCUGGCAUCAUACUGACGCUGAGGCACGAAAGCGUGGGGAGCGAACAGGAUUAGAAACCCCCUGUAGUCC